rnacentral:rRNA from 1 species
AUGGGGAAGGCAAAGCGUGCUUCCAUAUUUAUCAGGCUCGUUUCAGCAGCUGGGACUGGUUUUUUCUAUGUGAAGCGCAAGAAUCCUCGGCGGAUUACAGAGAAGCUUGAGUUCAGGAAGUAUGAUCCUCGUGUAAACAAGCAUGUUCUAUUUACGGAAGCCAAGAUGAAGUGA